GUUAAAACUGGGGUCGGUUAGGUCUGCGGGUCCGGAAAGGGUUCUGUUCUUAAAGGGACCGCGGGAUGAAAGCCGGAGCGCUUGGCUGCCUCUGGAGCAUCUGGUCUCUUGCCUUCGGAUUCUGUGCAUUUUAAGACUAGUGAGAAGAGGAUAAGGGACCGACCGUGGGCUUUACUUGGGAAAAGACCUACGCAGAUGCCCUCUAGGGUCCAAGAACCACAGACAGGAGGGAGUUACAGGGUAGGAAAGUGGUUGGCUGGGGAAUAGAUUCUUGGCUCCUCACCCCACCCACUCCAGUAAACCACAAGAGAUGUUUAUUGGUUGCCAGACCCACUACACGCCCAAUCCUCUCGCUACCCAUAGCAACUGCUGACCAUUGGCCACAAAAGGAAACUGUAUGGUCCUUCCACUGAAGACCCUUGGCCCCGCCCCCACCGCAGGGGCAAACAGGUGGAGUGUUUUCCUGAAGUGGACACAGUUGAAAGACUAAGGCAAAUUUGUGAAGGAACGUUUCACUGAAGCAGACACAGGUGAGAGGAUGUUCUGCUAAAGCAAACAUGUGAUGGGUGAUGAAGGAGUCUUUGCUAACAACGUGCAUGUGUUGGUCUGCCUUACACUGUGCAUUUGAGUUCCUUUUGUCUGGACUAUGAGGACUCAGGCUGAUUGGAUGCACGUGCUGAGGCAAGGCGUGUCCAGGACAUGUGACGUUUGGAGGUAUAAAUAGGACUCCAUGGAGUGAUGGACAGAGUGUGGCCUGCUGGCACAGCUAGCCGUGCACCUCUUGUGGGCCUCACAUCUUCAGUGAUCUUUGCAUCCCCGAGAGAGAUGCAGCCAAGAAUUUCUCCUGGUGUUCCUCCCGAUCCUCCUGCUCACUGGAGCCAAGGCUGAGGCCUGGCUGUCUCUGCUAGAGUCCCCCAACUCUACUCAACUCUACUGCUGGUGUUUUCAUGAAGUGUUUGCAAGUGGAUUGAGCUGCCGCUGCCUGCUAACCUGGGAACUGAACUGCCGAUUUCUAGACAAGAGGAGUUGCCCCAAAGAAUCCUUUUUUUUUUCCCCCUUGAGACAGGGUUUCUCUGUGUAGCCCUGGCUGUCCUGGAACUCACUCUGUAGACCAGGCUGGCCUCGACUCAGAAAUCCACCUGCCUCUGCCUCCCUAGCACUGGGAUUAAAGGUGUGUGCCACCACUGCCUGGCUUCCAAAGAAUCUUUCUAAAUAGGUCCACUUCCCCUGUAUCCUUUCUUUUCCACUACCUCUGGUUAGGCUAAAAGGGAGGUUAAAGCAUUUAAGAACCAUCAUUAAAAAUAGGAUUUGAAAAAAAUCAAAGUUACGGAGCUCCUGUCCUGACUUCCCUUAGUGGUGGAUAGAGCCUAGAAGUGAAAGAUGAAAGGGUGCUUUGUCUCCCCAGGGUGCCCUAGGUCAGAAAGCUCUGUCACUGAAACAGGAGACAAGCUAGAACACGCGGUCGUUUUUGUGAGACCCUAGAACACAUGGACAUUUUCUUGAGACUCCAGGCCCAUUUUAAACUCCUACUAGCAUCUGUUGGUCCUGGGGAAACUGAGGGUUGUGGAAUUGGGGCGGGGCCAGAUAAGGCUAUGCUGGCUUCCUAGUCAUGUACAGAAUGUAUUUCUUUGGUUUUUACUCUAUGCCUUCCAGCAUUCUUAGCUUUAGGGUAGGUGGAGGCUAGACAUUUACUAAGCUUACUGGACACAUUUUUGAAAAGUUUAUUAGUGCAGAGCUCAGAUAGAAAGUCAAGGCAGAGCCGGGUGGUGGCGCACGCCUUUAAUCCCAGUACUUGGGAGGCAGAGGCAGGCAGAUUUCUGAGUUCCAGGCCAGCCUGGUCUACAGAGUGAGUUCCAGGACAGCCAGGGCUACACAGCGAAAACCUGUCUUGAAGAACAAAAAAGAAAGAAAGAAAGAAAGAAAGAAAGAAAGAAAGAAAGAAAGAAAGAAAGAAAGAAAGUAAGUAAGUUAAGGCAGUUGUCCUAAGGGCCUAACCUCAAGAGGAUUUUGGUUACACAACUUUUACAACUGUGAUUUUUUUGUCUUUACCUUUUUUUGUUUUUAAAAGAUUCAUUUCUUAUUUUAUGUAUGUGAGUAUACCGUAGCUGUCUUUAGACACUAGAAGAAGGCACCAGAUCCCAUUGCAGAUGGUUGUGAGCCACCAUGUGGUUGCUGGGAAUUGAACUCAGGACCUCUGGAAAAGCAGUUAGUGCUCUUAGCCACUGAGCCACCUCAACAGUCCCCUUUUCCUUUCUUUUUAAACGCAUGGUUUCACUCCAGUCAAGUUUGAUUUUAUAGUCACCAUGGACCCAUGUUCAUCCUGAACUCCUUGCAAUCCUCCGGCCUUAGUCUUCUGGGUGUUGAGUUUAUAGGCAUGAGUCCCCAUGCUCCAGAAUUGACUAGAAUUCCAGUCUGCCAAGGCCAAGCAGUCCUCAGGAAGGGUGUGGCUGAAGCUCACACAUCUUCAUGGUGUUUUUAUUUUAUAUUUUCUAAUCUUAUGAACUUUAUUAUUUUAAAAAACUUGCAAAUAAGCAAAACCACAAUGAACCAAAAUUAUUCAGCACAGAAGCUGUGAAGAUUCACAUAAUUUUGUUUGAUUGAUCUUGUGGUUUUUGAGACAGGGUUUCUCUGUGUAGCCCUGGCUGUCCUGGAACUCACUUUAGACCAGGAUGAUAAACUCUCAGAGGUCGGCCUGCCUCUGCCUCCCGAGUGCUGGGAUUGAAGGCGUGCGCACCACCGCCCUUCAGUAUCAUAUAUAUUUUAUGCACUCAUCCACCACCCAAACCAAAUUAGAAUUAGAACUAGAAAAUCAAUUACCUUUGUACUCUGUCAUCACGUGUGACUGUUACCUGCUUUCAGUCUCAUCCCUUGGUGUUCAGCUUUUUUCUUCCCUUU